rnacentral:rRNA from 1 species
GAUUAAGUGUCGUAAGGGCAUUUGGUGGAUGCCUUGGCAUGCACAGGCGAUGAAGGACGUGAUACGCUGCGAAAAGCCGUGGGGAGCUGCGAAUGAGCUUUGAUCCAUGGAUCUCCGAAUGGGGCAACCCACCUUAAAUGCUUGGAAAAUCCAAACUGACUGCAAGGUCGGCUUGGGUUUCCAAGCAUUGUGAUAAGGUAUCUUACCUUCGAAU